UCAGAAAAAACACGACGUAAGCUACUCUUUCUCCUCUGCUCUCGUCCAUUUCACUUUUUCUUCAGAGGCUCUUUAACCAACAUGCAUGGUUCAGCCUUCUUCUCAUCUUGGGACUUUGAAAAAUUCACCAAAAAAAAAGUGAAAUAAUAACCCAGUUGGGUUUGUGGUGGCAACGACAUGCCAAUAUUAUUUUAAUCGAUUCUCUUGCAAAAGAUUUGUUUGCCAUGGUCGUCUCAUAUUAUAUACAAUAAGCGAUGAUUCAAUCAACAUGUUUCAUCUCUACUUAUACGAUCCGUCUAGUGCAGUCGCUGACCCUUGUUCCUCCUUCUCAUGCUUUACAUGCUCUUCUCUCGGCUGUGUCACCGGCUUAUCUCGUGGCCCUAAUCUAUCCGGUUUUCUAUCCCCUUCCAUCUCCAAUCUUUUUUUUUUUGCUAAGAAAGUUAAUAUCAUAUAAAGAUAAAAGACACGGGAGCAAUACUACUGCAAAGAGAAUGUAUUAAGAGAAUAAAGGAAAACAGAUUUUCCUUAUCUGAGAAUGACAACGUUGUCCCAUUGCUAGGUUAUCCAUGUCCCUUCAACCUAGCUCACUUAACCCAACUCAUUCUCUGCUUCGGCUCUGUUCACCGGCGGAAGAGCAUUGUAGAUAGGUAGCAGACAUCCAAAUGUUGUUGGGUUUGUGGGUGAAGGUGAUCGACUCGGUUAGGUUUGGGAGAGUGAUGUCGAGAAGAUUUUACUUUGGUCUGAAAAGAGAUGAAAUACUUUGAAAAAUGUUAGGAUUGCAUUUGUACGUGUUUUAGAUGUAAAAUACAUUAAAAUCUUAAAUCAAAUAAAAUCCAUUAAAAAUUGAAUAA